UACGGGAGGCAGCAGUGGGGAAUAUUGCACAAUGGGCGAAAGCCUGAUGCAGCUAUGCCGCGUGUAUGAAGAAGGCCUUAGGGUUGUAAAGUACUUUCAUCGGGGAGGAAAAAACAAAACUAAUAAUUUUAUUUCUUGACGUUACCCGAAAAAGAAGCACCGGCUAACUCCGUGCCAGCAGCCGCGGUAAUACGGAGGGUGCUAGCGUUAAUCAGAAUUACUGGGCGUAAAGAGCACGUAGGUGGUUUUUUAAGUCAGAUGUGAAAUCCCUGGGCUUAACCUAGGAACUGCAUUUUGAAAACUGAAAUACUAGAGUAUCGUAGAGGGAGGUAGAAUUCUAGGUGUAGCGGUGAAAUGCGUAGAUAUCUGGAGGAAUACCUGUGGCGAAAGCGGCCUCCUAAACGAAUACUGACACUGAGGUGCGAAAAGCGUUGGGGAGCAAACAGGGAUUAGAUACC
rnacentral:rRNA from 1 species